GGGUUGUGAGGUUAAGCGACUAAGCGUACACGGUGGAUGCCCUGGCAGUCAGAGGCGAUGAAGGACGUGCUAAUCUGCGAUAAGCGUCGGUAAGGUGAUAUGAACCGUUAUAACCGGCGAUUUCCGAAUGGGGAAACCCAGUGUGAUUCGUCACACUAUCAUUAACUGAAUCCAUAGGUUAAUGAGGCGAACCGGGGGAACUGAAACAUCUAAGUACCCCGAGGAAAAGAAAUCAACCGAGAUUCCCCCAGUAGCGGCGAGCGAACGGGGAGCAGCCCAGAGCCUGAAUCAGUGUGUGUGUUAGUGGAAGCGUCUGGAAAGGCGCGCGAUACAGGGUGACAGCCCCGUACACAAAAAUGCACAUACUGUGAGCUCGAUGAGUAGGGCGGGACACGUGGUAUCCUGUCUGAAUAUGGGGGACCAUCCUCCAAGGCUAAAUACUCCUGACUGACCGAUAGUGAACCAGUACCGUGAGGGAAAGGCGAAAAGAACCCCGGCGAGGGGAGUGAAAAAGAACCUGAAACCGUGUACGUACAAGCAGUGGGAGCCUCUUUUAUGGGGUGACUGCGUACCUUUUGUAUAAUGGGUCAGCGACUUAUAUUCUGUAGCAAGGUUAACCGAAUAGGGGAGCCGAAGGGAAACCGAGUCUUAACCGGGCGUUAAGUUGCAGGGUAUAGACCCGAAACCCGGUGAUCUAGCCAUGGGCAGGUUGAAGGUUGGGUAACACUAACUGGAGGACCGAACCGACUAAUGUUGAAAAAUUAGCGGAUGACUUGUGGCUGGGGGUGAAAGGCCAAUCAAACCGGGAGAUAGCUGGUUCUCCCCGAAAGCUAUUUAGGUAGCGCCUCGUGAAUUCAUCUCCGGGGGUAGAGCACUGUUUCGGCAAGGGGGUCAUCCCGACUUACCAACCCGAUGCAAACUGCGAAUACCGGAGAAUGUUAUCACGGGAGACACACGGCGGGUGCUAACGUCCGUCGUGAAGAGGGAAACAACCCAGACCGCCAGCUAAGGUCCCAAAGUCAUGGUUAAGUGGGAAACGAUGUGGGAAGGCCCAGACAGCCAGGAUGUUGGCUUAGAAGCAGCCAUCAUUUAAAGAAAGCGUAAUAGCUCACUGGUCGAGUCGGCCUGCGCGGAAGAUGUAACGGGGCUAAACCAUGCACCGAAGCUGCGGCAGCGACACUGUGUGUUGUUGGGUAGGGGAGCGUUCUGUAAGCCUGUGAAGGUGUACUGUGAGGUAUGCUGGAGGUAUCAGAAGUGCGAAUGCUGACAUAAGUAACGAUAAAGCGGGUGAAAAGCCCGCUCGCCGGAAGACCAAGGGUUCCUGUCCAACGUUAAUCGGGGCAGGGUGAGUCGACCCCUAAGGCGAGGCCGAAAGGCGUAGUCGAUGGGAAACAGGUUAAUAUUCCUGUACUUGGUGUUACUGCGAAGGGGGACGGAGAAGGCUAUGUUGGCCGGGCGACGGUUGUCCCGGUUUAAGCGUGUAGGCUGGUUUUCCAGGCAAAUCCGGAAAAUCAAGGCUGAGGCGUGAUGACGAGGCACUACGGUGCUGAAGCAACAAAUGCCCUGCUUCCAGGAAAAGCCUCUAAGCAUCAGGUAACAUCAAAUCGUACCCCAAACCGACACAGGUGGUCAGGUAGAGAAUACCAAGGCGCUUGAGAGAACUCGGGUGAAGGAACUAGGCAAAAUGGUGCCGUAACUUCGGGAGAAGGCACGCUGAUAUGUAGGUGAAGUCCCUCGCGGAUGGAGCUGAAAUCAGUCGAAGAUACCAGCUGGCUGCAACUGUUUAUUAAAAACACAGCACUGUGCAAACACGAAAGUGGACGUAUACGGUGUGACGCCUGCCCGGUGCCGGAAGGUUAAUUGAUGGGGUCAGCGCAAGCGAAGCUCUUGAUCGAAGCCCCGGUAAACGGCGGCCGUAACUAUAACGGUCCUAAGGUAGCGAAAUUCCUUGUCGGGUAAGUUCCGACCUGCACGAAUGGCGUAAUGAUGGCCAGGCUGUCUCCACCCGAGACUCAGUGAAAUUGAACUCGCUGUGAAGAUGCAGUGUACCCGCGGCAAGACGGAAAGACCCCGUGAACCUUUACUAUAGCUUGACACUGAACAUUGAGCCUUGAUGUGUAGGAUAGGUGGGAGGCUUUGAAGUGUGGACGCCAGUCUGCAUGGAGCCGACCUUGAAAUACCACCCUUUAAUGUUUGAUGUUCUAACGUGGACCCGUGAUCCGGGUUGCGGACAGUGUCUGGUGGGUAGUUUGACUGGGGCGGUCUCCUCCUAAAGAGUAACGGAGGAGCACGAAGGUUGGCUAAUCCUGGUCGGACAUCAGGAGGUUAGUGCAAUGGCAUAAGCCAGCUUGACUGCGAGCGUGACGGCGCGAGCAGGUGCGAAAGCAGGUCAUAGUGAUCCGGUGGUUCUGAAUGGAAGGGCCAUCGCUCAACGGAUAAAAGGUACUCCGGGGAUAACAGGCUGAUACCGCCCAAGAGUUCAUAUCGACGGCGGUGUUUGGCACCUCGAUGUCGGCUCAUCACAUCCUGGGGCUGAAGUAGGUCCCAAGGGUAUGGCUGUUCGCCAUUUAAAGUGGUACGCGAGCUGGGUUUAGAACGUCGUGAGACAGUUCGGUCCCUAUCUGCCGUGGGCGCUGGAGAACUGAGGGGGGCUGCUCCUAGUACGAGAGGACCGGAGUGGACGCAUCACUGGUGUUCGGGUUGUCAUGCCAAUGGCACUGCCCGGUAGCUAAAUGCGGAAGAGAUAAGUGCUGAAAGCAUCUAAGCACGAAACUUGCCCCGAGAUGAGUUCUCCCUGACCCUUUAAGGGUCCUGAAGGAACGUUGAAGACGACGACGUUGAUAGGCCGGGUGUGUAAGCGCAGCGAUGCGUUGAGCUAACCGGUACUAAUGAACCGUGAGGCUUAACCUUACAACGCCGAAGGUGUUU
rnacentral:rRNA from 1 species